AUGGAUGAUGAGUACUACCUAUUUGCCGGUGAAGCAUCCGACACUGAUAGCACGGACCUCGAUGAGCCCGUAGAAUCCUCCAACACGGGAUCUAUCGACCUAGAUCCUUUCGACUAUGUCUACUCGAACAUCCCAGACAGCACGCACAUCCUGAAGCACGCGGCAAACUGCGAGCAUUGCAAGGCCAAGAAGUUCCAGUACGAGACUGACGGCUUCUGCUGUCGGAACGGGGAGAUUGAGCUAGCUGAACCCGAGCCUAUCCCAGAGCUGAUGAGGUUAUGGUCAAGCGCGGAUGCAGACUCUCGGCAUUUCCGAGAGAGCAUUCGGUUCUUCAACGGGCACUUUGCCUUCACUACCCUUGGCGUCAGCCUAGACAACAACUACACAAACAUGAAGUCCGGGGUGUACACGUUUCAGGCACAUGGCACUAUGUACCACAAGGUGCACUCGUUCGGUCCAAGAUCUCGCCCUGAACAUCUGCAGUACCGUUCAACCAGAACACCUUACAGGGGAAGGAUUCAUACCCGGUUUAUCGACGGCGAGAUGAUGGUCGUCAGGCUAAGGUCCGUCGUCAAAUGCUGGAUAACAGAUGGGUCGUGCCUUACAACCCUUAUCUGUUGUGGAUGUUCAACUGCCACAUAA
rnacentral:rRNA from 1 species